rnacentral:rRNA from 1 species
AUUGAACGCUGGCGGAAUGCUUUACACAUGCAAGUCGAACGGUAGAGGGGGCAACCCCUCGAGAGUGGCGAACGGGUGAGUAAUAUAUCGGAGCGUGCCCAGUCGUGGGGGAUAACGUAGCGAAAGUUACGCUAAUACCGCAUACGAUCUAAGGAUGAAAGCGGGGGAUCGCAAGACCUCGCGCGAUUGGAGCGGCCGAUAUCAGAUUAGGUAGUUGGUGGGGUAAAGGCUAACCAAGCCAACGAUCUGUAGCUGGUCUGAGAGGACGACCAGCCACACUGGAACUGAGACACGGUCCAGACUCCUACGGGAGGCAGCAGUGGGGAAUUUUGGACAAUGGACGCAAGUCUGAUCCAGCCAUUCCGCGUGCAGGAUGAAGGCCCUCGGGUUGUAAACUGCUUUUGUACGGAACGAAAAGGUCUCUCUUAAUACGGGGGGCUCAUGACGGUACCGUAAGAAUAAGCACCGGCUAACUACGUGCCAGCAGCCGCCGUAA